UGGGGAAUAUUGCACAAUGGGCGCAAGCCUGAUGCAGCCAUGCCGCGUGUGUGAAGAAGGCCUUCGGGUUGUAAAGCACUUUCAGCGAGGAGGAAGGGUAGUGUGUUAAUAGCACAUUGCAUUGACGUUACUCGCAGAAGAAGCACCGGCUAACUCCGUGCCAGCAGCCGCGGUAAUACGGAGGGUGCAAGCGUUAAUCGGAAUUACUGGGCGUAAAGCGCACGCAGGCGGUUUGUUAAGUCAGAUGUGAAAUCCCGCGCUUAACGUGGA
rnacentral:rRNA from 1 species